rnacentral:lncRNA from 1 species
CAGGCGGUCAGGAAGGAACAGUGGCAGAAGAGCAGAGGGGGAGCCAAGACAAACUGACACCAACCAGUGAGGAAAGCUGGAACCCGUGUCCCUCUCUCACCACCUUCAAAACCUCCAACUUCCAUGCGGCAGGUGACCCGCCAGAGAGGCUGGUUUUCUGUGGAGGAGCUAAACACGCACUGGCCCAGGAGUUGGAGAUGCUGGAGGAGGACACGUGAUGAGGGGAGGAGCUGCAGGCUCGGCUGAUAGGCCCCAGAGACUGUACUCGGUGCGCGAGGGUUUGGAGGAGUCCGCCCGCUGCUGGGGCACGGAGGGCAGGGCCUCCGCCCCACGCCAUCGAGGAGAGCGUUAGGUCAGGGACGGCGUGCGUGAGAGGCGUGUGCGCUGGUGCCCUAUUCUGACUGCUAGAGCUAAAAAGACUGUGGCUGACGCUUCUCUCCUGACUUACAGAUCUCACACAUGUUGUCUGUUUGUGACCAGCGCUAUGCAGGCUCUCAAAAUCUUUCAUUCAUCUUAACUGAACUGUGACUCCAAACGUCCACUUCUGUGCACCUGCGUCAACGGUUUUCUGCUGUCUUAUGUCUCAAAGUCCAACUUGAUUAUCCUCACACUUGGCAGUAGAUCAUCAGGGAUAAGAGGGAGAGAUUUAGGGGCUAGAAAGGAAAGAAGAGGAACUGGGGUAAUUUCCUCCUUUAUUUCCAGGCUGAUCCUAAAUCCAAUUUGACUGCUUUUCUACCAUUCCUCCACCUAGGAAAAGGGAGAAUUCAAGAAGGAUCAAAGGAGAGAAGAAGGGAAGAAUGUUCAAGUUGAAUGCCCCGAAGUAGAUAUCACUCGCUCAGCAUCCCAAGGGAUUUUGAGAGAUUUUUGUGUCCAUCAGUUACUUUCAGGUGGCUGGCAAAGCCAACCAGUGGAAUGAAUUUAAAAUGCUCACAAGUGUGGAAGUCAAGCUGUUGCACAAUGUAAGGGUGGGUAUGGAUACACACAGCAUAGUGCCAUGGGGUAUAAAUAUAAAACAGAAUUUAUUGUGAGGAAAAACUUAGAAGCAGAAAAACACCACACAAGUUCCCCUGAGGUCUCAUUAUUUCACACAAAGAUGUACUUAGGCUGGGAAUGGCUGAACUAGAUGCAACACAGAAAGGGCUCCAACGGAUGGAUCCCAUCCCAUCAUGUUCCUCAUAUUUAAAGGGAAAUAGGGCAGUAGAACAUAUCUAUUCAAGCAUUUAGCAACGGAAACUUCUUGGCUAAGGGAGUGUCCUCAUUAGUUAGGAGAAACCUCUGGAACUCUGGCUGGUACUAGUUUAAUCUUCUAUUGAUCAAGUUCAGCCAUGCUGAGCCCACUCUUUGCUUGCCCACUGAUAUGGGAAAGAAUUGAGUUUCCAAUACCAUCUGGAUUUGUCUUUCCUCACUGGCAGAACGCUUUGGCACAUUCUAGUGCAGUGACAAAACCUUUAAUUUAGAGCACAUCUCAGUCAACAAGGCAGCUGUGAAAACAGCUCCCUGCUCAAAAGGAUGCUGUCCAUAUUCUAUCCACAAGCAGCCUCAGCCAGCAAUGGAAAGCUACCCUGUACAGGUUGGAAGACAGCUCUUGGAAACCCAUUCUAUCUGUCACAGUGAUGCAUCACCUUAUCUCAAGGAUGGAGCUCUGCCAGGACAACCAGUUGCUGAGAGGCAAAGCUCAUCAUUUUGAAAGGCUAGGUGAAGGCAAAUUUAAUUUCCUCCAGGAGAAAAAUGUCAUCACCACCCUUGGUAAGCACAGAGACUUCAGAGUGAAAUUUGGCUACACCUUCACAUAAAGUUGCUCUGGAAGAGAAAGAUGUGAUUUAUGACCAAAGAGCCAACAUUUCCCCCUAGAGGGUUUGUUUCAUUUAUGAAGAAAAAGGGAAAGAUAUUUAAACAAGAGAUUUGGCAGUUUUGUUGAUUAUCAGAAAACCUCCCCUGUCAUUUUGGCUAUAAUAAAAAAAAAAGUAAACUGAAUGAAAAAAACAACUUGUGAUUUCUAUGCCAGCGACUGAGAGGCAGGGGAUUAAUAUCUCCCCAAACAAGAUCCACUCAUGAUGUUUCUGUCCCCAAACAAGAGAACAGUACUUGGCUUCUAGAUACCAGAUUUGAUUUCACUUUUCCUAAUGAGCGUUUAGUUUCUGGUCAACACACACACACAAACACACACACACACACAAUCUUGCAUAAGAUUAGAAUGAUUAAAUAUGUGCCCUUAAGUCAAGGAGCACUUCUUUUUAAUUUUAUUUGGGAACAUCAAAAAUUGUCAUUUUAUGAAGCAGAUUUUUUUGUAUACCAGAUGUUUUCGAACUAAACAAGUUCAAUAAAGCAAAUGGAAAAUAAAUAGGAAUGUCUCUUUUUUUUUCUUUAGUUAUGAUUUGAUUAGGCAGUGACAAUGUUUUAUAAGACACUUUGGCUAAGUAUGUUCUUAAUUUGAUAAAUCAUCAUGUAAGUUUGGCUUCAAUUAAGAGAAUGUUUUUCUUCAUAUCAGUUCCUACAGAUUUGCAGUCAGCACGCAUACAUAAAACAUGGAAAUGUAAACAUCGAAAUGCCC